CACUCCUACGGGAGGCAGCAGUGGGGAAUAUUGCACAAUGGGCGCAAGCCUGAUGCAGCCAUGCCGCGUGUAUGAAGAAGGCCUUCGGGUUGUAAAGUACUUUCAGCGGGGAGGAAGGCAAUACGGUUAAUAACCGUGUUGAUUGACGUUACCCGCAGAAGAAGCACCGGCUAACUCCGUGCCAGCAGCCGCGGUAAUACGGAGGGUGCAAGCGUUCAUCGGAAUUACUGGGCGUAAAGCGCACGCAGGCGGUCUGUCAAGUCGGAUGUGAAAUCCCCGGGCUCAACCUGGGAACUGCAUUCGAAACUGGCAGGCUUGAGUCUUGUAGAGGGGGGUAGAAUUCCAGGUGUAGCGGUGAAAUGCGUAGAGAUCUGGAGGAAUACCGGUGGCGAAGGCGGCCCCCUGGACAAAGACUGACGCUCAGGUGCGAAAGCGUGGGGAGCAAACAGGAUUAGAAACCCGUGUAGUCCCAUGAU
rnacentral:rRNA from 1 species